AUUGAACGCUGGCGGCAUGCUUUACACAUGCAAGUCGAACGGCAGCGCGGGCUUCGGCCUGGCGGCGAGCGGCGAACGGGUGAGUAAUACAUCGGAACGUGCCCAGUAGUGGGGGAUAGCUCGGCGAAAGCCGGAUUAAUACCGCAUACGACCUGAGGGUGAAAGCGGGGGAUCUUCGGACCUCGCGCUAUUGGAGCGGCCGAUGGCAGAUUAGCUAGUUGGUGGGGUAAAGGCCUACCAAGGCGACGAUCUGUAGCUGGUCUGAGAGGACGACCAGCCACACUGGGACUGAGACACGGCCCAGACUCCUACGGGAGGCAGCAGUGGGGAAUUUUGGACAAUGGGCGAAAGCCUGACCCAGCAAUGCCGCGUGUGUGAUGAAGGCCUUCGGGUUGUAAAGCACUUUUGGCGGGAACGAAAAGGACUGUGCCAAUACCACGGUUCGAUGACGGUACCCGCAGAAUAAGCACCGGCUAACUACGUG
rnacentral:rRNA from 1 species